AACGAACGCUGGCGGCAGGCCUAACACAUGCAAGUCGAGCGGACCUUUCGUGGUCAGCGGCGGACGGGGGUGUCACGCGUGGGAAUAUGCCCUUCUCUACGGAAUAGUCCUGGGAAACUGGGGGUAAUACCGUAUACGCCCUUUUGGGGACAGAUUCAUCGGGGAAGGAUUAGCCCGCGUUGGAUUAGGUUGUUGGUGGGGUAAGGGCCUACCAAGCGGUGGAUCCAUAGCGGGGUUGAGAGGAAGAUCAGCCACACUUGGGCUAGGACACGGUCCAGACUCCUACGCGAGGGAGCAAUGGGGAAUCUUAGAAUACGGGGGCAACCAUGAUCGAGCCAGGCCGCGUGAGUGAUGAAGGCCUGAGGGUUGUAAAGCUCUUUCAGCUGCGAAGAUAAUGACGGUACCAACAGAAGAAGCCCCGGCUAACUCCGUG
rnacentral:rRNA from 1 species